rnacentral:tmRNA from 1 species
GGGGACGCCCCGGUUUCGACGGUGUUCGCGGAAGGUGAAGUGGCGAGCCGAGGAUGGUCGUGGGCCUCGUAAAUCAUUCGACCAAGCCAUUAACUGGCAACAACAGCGACUCGUUCGCACUGGCUGCUUAAUCCCAGCCCAGCAAUCGUAAAGCCCGGCCAUUGGCGCUACGCGAGCUGACACAAAAGAUGGCUAGCUUUGGAAGAAGCCUCGGCUUCCCGAGUGAAACUUAGAGGAUGGAUUCAAAAGUAGCCUGUCCUUGGGCGACUGAGAAUCGAGACCUAAAAUGAGGACUACGCUCGUAGAAGCCCACUGAAGCAGCAUCGGACGAGGGUUCGACUCCCUCCGUCUCCACCA